rnacentral:rRNA from 1 species
AGUCGAGCGAACAGACGAGGAGCUUGCUCCUCUGACGUUAGCGGCGGACGGGUGAGUAACACGUGGAUAACCUACCUAUAAGACUGGGAUAACUUCGGGAAACCGGAGCUAAUACCGGAUAAUAUAUUGAACCGCAUGGUUCAAUAGUGAAAGACGGUUUUGCUGUCACUUAUGGAUGGAUCCGCGCCGCAUUAGCUAGUUGGUAAGGUAACGGCCUACCAAGGCAACGAUGCGUAGCCGACCUGAGAGGGUGAUCGGCCACACUGGAACUGAGACACGGUCCAGACUCCUACGGGAGGCAGCAGUAGGGAAUCUUCCGCAAUGGGCGAAAGCCUGACGGAGCAACGCCGCGUGAGUGAUGAAGGUCUUCGGAUCGUAAAACUCUGUUAUUAGGGAAGAACAAAUGUGUAAGUAACUAUGCACGUCUUGACGGUACCUAAUCAGAAAGCCACGGCUAACUACGUGCCAGCAGCCGCGGUAAUACGUAGGUGGCAAGCGUUAUCCGGAAUUAUUGGGCGUAAAGCGCGCGUAGGCGGUUUUUUAAGUCUGAUGUGAAAGCCCACGGCUCAACCGUGGAGGGUCAUUGGAAACUGGAAAACUUGAGUGCAGAAGAGGAAAGUGGAAUUCCAUGUGUAGCGGUGAAAUGCGCAGAGAUAUGGAGGAACACCAGUGGCGAAGGCGACUUUCUGGUCUGUAACUGGCGCUGAUGUGCGG